rnacentral:sRNA from 1 species
UAUAUAUCGAUGGUGCAUUAUUCUAGUCAUACAAACUUUUGUGAGGGUGGGGCUAAAAAUCCACUAAAGGGCACAUCGUUGAAGUUUCUUGUUUGUGCGUGAAAUGCCAGUUUUGCGUGUAACCAGGGAGUAAAGGGGUUAGGGUAUUAUGUAAUGGCAUACAUAUGAUCCCUAGUCUCGCGGAGGCUUAAUAGAUUUUUUAAGUAAAACCUAUGUUGAGUGCCAAGACACGAAAUACAUAGAGUAGCCUGUCUUGAGUGAAUGUAUUGGGAUUAAUUUGUUAAAGUAAAAAUAAAAUUGGCCAAAUUAAUUUUACUUCUGAAUUAUGAAAUUGCAAUUGCAAAAGAGACUAGCAAAAGAACAACGUGUAUGUUAAGGAAAACUUCUAGAAUGUUUGCUUAAAUCAAAAGCAUAGAAAUCUAGGGAUUAAGGUACAGAUUUAAGUGGCGAUCUGGUGUCUAUUUUUAUCUGAUAGAUUUUCUCCUUAAAUGGAAACAGCUACAACAGUAAUGUUAAGCGGAGAAAAGAGAAAUUCAACCAGACCUAAACUGUAAAAUUUACUUAGGUUUUGACCAUCUAAAUAAUAA